UGUUCCACUAGAAAUCUGUUCUGGGUUAUUCUUUCACGUAGGUGGAAGGAGGUGAACCAUUUAUUUCUCUGAAAUGGUUGUUUUGUUACCGGUACUUAUAAUACCUGUAUCUGCUCUUUUUGAUGUAGGAGGAUCAUACAAUAUUUAAAUAAAAUGACCCAGAGAAGAUUCAGGUUGGAUGUUAGGCAAAAUUUCUUCUCCAAAGAGUGGUCAGGCUCUGGAAAGGGCUGCCCAGGGAGGUGGUGGAGGAGUUAAAGGAACGUUCAGAUGUUGUGCCGAGAGGCGUGCUUUAGUUGGGGAAAUAGUGGUGGUAGGUGGAGAGUUGGACUGGAUGAUCUUGAAGGCCUUUUCCAACCUUAAUAAUUCUAUGACUUUAUUUUCAUAUUUAUUUUCCUGUAUUUAAACUUGCAAACUUAUAGCCAUUGUUAUAGCUGCAGUGAUAUCUUAGUGCUAUUAUAAAAUGUUUAGCUAACUAGAAGUUGCUAUUCCAAUUCCUAUAGCAACAUAGGGUUAGGAUGAUUUUUAGCUGUAGAAUCUUGAUGCACGAAAUGAACUCCAUCUGGAUUAAGAAAUACACUUGUUAUUACAUUGCAAAACUGAAAACUGCGUAUGGGGAAGAUGCAGCUCUUCUACUGGAACAUUCAGCCUUGUCUUUUUCUUAAAAUAGGUCUGUCUUUGCCUGGCAGUGUCUGGGUCCUCUCUUUUACAUGGCUGCAUCACCAGCUGUGGUCGAAUCUGAACAUAAAUAUACUUAAAGAUGGGAUAAUCCUAACUUUUAGGUGAUCCUAGAAGUACCAUUCGGUUUCCCAAAGUACUGUCACAAUGGAGGGAGUUACUGAGGUUAAUUGUCGAUUGUGCAGAGAAGAUUGUGUUUCAUACUGAGAGUUCAGAUAGGACAAGGAAGUAAAUUAUUAGUUUAGUGUUAUUUCAGGUUUUCCUGAAGAGUUUGUCAACUUUACAGUCUGCUGGAGACCAGAGCAGGCAUUGUGAAGAAGCUGGAUGAACACCAACCCUGGAAUGUGGUUCCUUAUGGAUGAUCCAUUCCAGGAAAAAAAAAGAAAAAGUUUGUUGCAAAGUGUUUUUAUGGACCCCAUAGACCAUGCUGAUUGUUCUGGAUGAACUGUCCAUGCAGCCACUGUAGUGAGGUUUGUUUCCCUUAGAAAAAAGCCAAGAAAAAGAUUUUUUUUUUGUAUUUAUAUAUAUAUGAGUUGUGAGUAUGGAAUGUGAAGUUUUGAACUCAUGAUAAAAUGAGUAUAUAUAAAUGAACGAGUGCUCCCCAGCAGCACAGGCCUUUGGCUGGGCUGUGCUGAGCUCAGGCCAGCAGAAGCAGGGCUGCACCCUCCGCAGGUGCUGUGCUGUUACCAGGAAAGUGAAAGCGAUGUUGUUUCUCAGGCAACAAAAGAUCAGUUCUGCGAGAAAACUGGGGCUUGAUUAACCAACCCGCCGCGCUUUCCUUAUUGCUAAAUAGCUCUGUAAUGAAGGGAAUGGAUAAAAAUAUCUUGAAAAAGUGAUUGCGGCGGUAUAGCUACGAAUGGAGGAAAAAAUGGCGAGGAGAAAAUAUGUUCCAGAUGCGUUAUAGGCCUCUCUAGACCCAAUUGUUGUUAAUAUUACCGUAGCAUAUUUUCCCCUUUCCAAUCAACGUGCUUUUUCCAGUGGAUGCAGCCUCCUGUUGUUUGGGUGCCUGCAGUUACAGGUGCCCGGCUGCGUCCUGCAGGCCGGCUGCCUGCGGUGGCCCUGCAGCUCAGGAGGAAGGCUCCAGAAGAGCGACGUGGCUCCUUGUUGUGCUCGCAGGGGUAAGAUUCAGGAAGCAGGGUUAGCCGAGGAUGUGUUCCCUUCAGUUCUCUGAUAGCGUAUCCACAGCGAAAACUAAUGGCGUUUUUACAGCCUGGUUAGCUGUGCUGUGUACGGCCGCACAGGCUGCAGCCUGGGUACGGUUUGUACAGCUGUGUGAUUGCACAAGGGCUGAGCAAACACUCGGUGCCUGGAGCAGUGCAAAGCUGGCUUCGCUCUGCCCUCGUGGGUUUGCGUUACGUUGUUGGGCUGCAGCGUUGGCGGGACGGCUGUGAUUCGUGCCCAUGCCGAGCAGUGCGCUGUGCUUUCACUUUCACAAGCAAGGCACCUUUCUUCCUGCUCUAAGCUUCAUUAACAAAACUUCGUAGCUCUCACAGGCAUUCCACUUCUGUCACGGCAAAUGUAAAACCCGACGAGUAGUAUUGCAUUUUUGUUACAGCGUACUUCCAGUGAACAAAACUCAUCGUCUGCAUGGCACUGACCUUCUGGUUGGUAGGGCUGGUUGCCCUGCUUGCCCUGGAAUUCCAGCCGGGGAGUGCAUCCAGCACGCGAGGAGGUAAUUUCCUCGUGGUCUCAGAGAGUGAAACCCCCUUCUUGCUGAGCUUCUGCAGGCAUCUGAUGGGGUUGGUGUCAGAGGCUGAAGAGAGGAAGGAUGCCUGCCGUGGGGAAGGGGAGUUGCCCUGCUCACCGCCUCCAGGGCAGAUCGCUGGGAGGGAUCACCUCCUGCUGCAGCUUAGCGAUGGGCCCACAGUCCUGCGCGGAGAACAGAGGCUUUCACUGUCAGCUCCAUAUGCUCACGCAGCUGUGUAGUUCUCUAACAUGAGCACAUCCAGCGCUUUUAUCCACUAUUAGCAGGUAAUCGAGUCAGGCACAAAGUUAAGCAGGAAUAUAUUCUGUCAUGAAAAAGGACCACAGAAUUUUGAAAAUGAAAAGUGCUUCUGCAUUUUGUAUUUUCCAUUAUUCAUCUGAUCUCUGAGAGCAGUUGCAGCUACACUUGCCCUUUUGUUUUUAAUGAGUUGCCUAUGGAUUCCAUUUCAUGUUCCUCCUGUAUAUACAGUACAUUUGCUCUCAGGGAGAACAUUUUUCCUGAAAGUUUUCAUCUGGCACAGAAGUGGGGAAGAAAGUGAAAUAUUUGAGCUAAAGAUCAUUAGUUGUGAUUUCUUCUUCAGCCUCCUUUCUGUGCCCUUAACAUCUCAGUGGUAAAGAGCAGAAACGUGAAAAUUGGCAGGAAUGAUGUUCCUAUCUCAUAUGUGCCAUUCACCAGUCUGAAAAGGCUGGCUGAGAUAUAGGCAAAUUAUAGUGAUUUUUUUUUUUUUU